AAGCGGCAAAAGCUCAAAUUUGAAAUCUGGCACCUUUGGUGUCCGAGUUGUAAUUUGAAGAAAGUAACUUUUGGAAUGAGCCUUGCAUAAGUUCCUUGGAACAGGACGUCAUAGAGGGUGAGAAUCCCGUUUAUGGCGAGGUAUUCAUUUCAAUGUAAAGUGCUUUCGAAGAGUCGAGUUGUUUGGGAAUGCAGCUCUAAGUGGGUGGUAAAUUCCAUCUAAAGCUAAAUAUUGGCGAGAGACCGAUAGCGAACAAGUACAGUGAUGGAAAGAUGAAAAGAACUUUGAAAAGAGAGUGAAAAAGUACGUGAAAUUGUUGAAAGGGAAGGGCUUGAAAUCAGACUUGGUAUUCAGUGAUCAGCGAUCUCUCGGGGUUGUGCACUUGCUGUUUACUGGGCCAGCAUCGGUUUUGACGGUGAGAUAAUAGC
rnacentral:rRNA from 1 species